rnacentral:rRNA from 1 species
AGUGAACGCUGGCGGUAGACCUAACACAUGCAAGUCGAACGGCAGCACAGUAAGAGCUUGCUCUUACGGGUGGCGAGUGGCGGACGGGUGAGGAAUACAUCGGAAUCUACUUUUUCGUGGGGGAUAACGUAGGGAAACUUACGCUAAUACCGCAUACGACCUACGGGUGAAAGCAGGGGAUCUUCGGACCUUGCGCGAUUGAAUGAGCCGAUGUCGGAUUAGCUAGUUGGCGGGGUAAAGGCCCACCAAGGCGACGAUCCGUAGCUGGUCUGAGAGGAUGAUCAGCCACACUGGUACUGAGACACAGUCCAGACUCCUACGGGAGGCAGCAGUGGGGAAUAUUGGACAAUGAGCGCAAGCCUGGUCCAGCCAUACCGCGUGGGUGAAGAAGGCCUUCGGGUUUUAAAACCCUUUUGUUGGGAAAGAAAAGCAGCAGGUUAAUACCCCGCUGUUCUGACGGUACCCAAAGAAUAAGCACCGGCUAACUUCGUG